ACUCAAAGGAAUUGACGGGGACCCGCACAAGCGGUGGAACAUGUGGUUUAAUUCGAUGCAACGCGAAGAACCUUACCUGGGCUUGACAUCUAGAGAAUCCCCUAGAGAUAGGGGAGUGCCGCAAGGAACUCUAAGACAGGUGGUGCACGGUUGUCGUCAGCUCGUGUCGUGAGAUGUUGGGUUAAGUCCCGCAACGAGCGCAACCCUCGUGGUCUGUUGUUACAGGUCGUAAGAUGCUGAACCCUCAGGCCAAACUGCCGGUGAUAAACCGGAGGAAGGUGGGGAUGACGUCAAAUCAUCACGCCCCUUAUGUCCAGGGCUACACACGUGUUACAAUGGGAAGAGGACAAUGGGCAGCUUGGCAGCGAUGUCUGGCAAAUCCUAAAACCUCCCCUCAGUUCGGAUCGGAGUCUGCAACUCGACUCCGUGAAGUCGGAAUCGCUAGUAAACGCAGAUCAGCACGCUGCGUUGAAUACGUUCCCGGGUCUUGCACACACCGCCCGU
rnacentral:rRNA from 1 species